CAAUAGCGUAUAUUAAAGUUGUUGCAGUUAAAAAGCUCGUAGUUGGAUUUCUGGUCGGAAGCUCCUGUCCUCUGAUGAGCGUACAAGUGCGUCCUACCAUCCUUCUGUUAACCUUUAAGGCUUUCGCGGCUUUCUAGGGGCUCAGAUAUUUUACCUUGAGAAAAGUAGAGUGUUUCAGGCAGGCUAGCGCCGGAAUACAUUAGCAUGGAAUAAUGGAAUAGGACUUUUGCCUCUUCUGUUGGUCAUGAGGCUCGAGUAAUGAUUAAUAGGGAUAGUUGGGGGCAUUAGUACUUAACUGUCAGAGGUGAAAUUCUCGGAUUUGUUAAAGACUAACUUAUGCGAAAGCAUUUGCCAAGGAUGUUUUCAUUAA
rnacentral:rRNA from 1 species